GCCAGCUGGAGCCCCAGACCUAGUUGGCCAGCAGAAUACUCAAGGCCAAGAAGAACCGGCCAUCAUCAAGGUCAGGGCCCCCAGGUCCCAACCCCAAGCCCCGUACCAGUGGCCGAUCACAGCCCCAUCCUCAGCAGCGAGGGCACAGCUGGGAGGCUUGCGAUGCACAGGGCCAGCUCCUCCCACCUGACGGGAAGGGGAACAUUGUAAGCUGAUUCCUGGGGCCCCCUGAAGCCCAAGAGAGAGGGGACGACCCCACCCCAGAUCCCUGACUUAUUUGCCCCAGCACCUAGUCACCCAUUGGGGAGGGACAGUGGUUAUUUGUUGUAAAUAGUAAAUGCCAUAUUUGAAUAUUAUAUUAAAGUCCUAUUCCUUUUACAGCC